UACGUAGGGUCCGAGCGUUGUCCGGAAUUAUUGGGCGUAAAGAGCUCGUAGGCGGUUUGUCGCGUCUGCUGUGAAAUCCCGAGGCUCAACCUCGGGUCUGCAGUGGGUACGGGCAGACUGGAGUGCGGUAGGGGGGAAUGGAAUUCCUGGUGUAGCGGUGGAAUGCGCAGAUAUCAGGAGGAACACCGAUGGCGAAGGCAGUUCCCUGGGCCGUAACUGACGCUGAGGAGCGAAAGCGUGGGGAGCGAACAGG
rnacentral:rRNA from 1 species